rnacentral:rRNA from 1 species
ACACAUGCAGUCGAGGGGUAGAGGAAGCUUGCUUCCUUGAGACCGGCGCACGGGUGCGUAACGCGUAUGCAAUCUACCUUAUACAGAGGGAUAGCCCAGAGAAAUUUGGAUUAAUACCUCAUAGUAUUACUGAGUGGCAUCACUUGGUAAUUAAAGUUUCAACGGUAUAAGAUGAGCAUGCGUCCCAUUAGUUAGUUGGUAAGGUAACGGCUUACCAAGACAAUGAUGGGUAGGGGUCCUGAGAGGGAGAUCCCCCACACUGGUACUGAGACACGGACCAGACUCCUACGGGAGGCAGCAGUGAGGAAUAUUGGGCAAUGGAGGCAACUCUGACCCAGCCAUGCCGCGUGCAGGAAGACGGUCCUAUGGAUUGUAAACUGCUUUUAUACAGGAAGAAACCUCCCUACGUGUAGGGACUUGACGGUACUGUAGGAAUAAGGAUCGGCUAACUCCGUGCCAGCAGCCGCGGUAAUACGGAGGAUCCAAGCGUUAUCCGGAAUCAUUGGGUUUAAAGGGUCCGUAGGCGGCCUUAUAAGUCAGUGGUGAAAUCUCCUAGCUCAACUAGGAAACUGCCAUUGAUACUGUAGGGCUUGAAUUUUGGUGAAGUAACUAGAAUAUGUAGUGUAGCGGUGAAAUGCUUAGAUAUUACAUGGAAUACCAAUUGCGAAUGCAGGUUACUAACCAACGAUUGACGCUGAUGGACGAAAGCGUGGGGAGCGAACAGGA